rnacentral:ncRNA from 1 species
AUUUAGGGGUGUCCGUCUUGGCCGGAUGCGUUUUGCCGCAUCAGGCAGACAGGUCUGAGAUUAUACCCUUUGAACCUGAUCCGGGUAAUACCGGCGUAGAGAAAAA